rnacentral:rRNA from 1 species
UACGGGGGGGGCAAGCGUUGUUCGGAAUUACUGGGCGUAAAGGGCUCGUAGGUGGCCAACUAAGUCAGACGUGAAAUCCCUCGGCUUAACCGGGGAACUGCGUCUGAUACUGGAUGGCUUGAGUUCGGGAGAGGGAUGCGGAAUUCCAGGUGUAGCGGUGAAAUGCGUAGAGAUCCGGAGGAACACCAGUGGCGAAGGCGACACGCUGGGCCGUACCUGACGCUAAAGCGCGACAGCAUGGGGAGCAAACGGG